UGGAGCCUGGCUGCACCUCUCCUGGACCCAUUUAAGAGCUGAUUACCACUGAGGAAGGAUCUCUUCUGGAAGUCUCUUCUCUGGAGUUUUGCGGUGAGCCCAGGACAUAGUUAUAACAUCUUUAUAUUCAUUGAUUAUACACCCUCCGUUUACACGAACUUCUGAAACUCUUGCUUCUGUUCCUGGAACGUUACCAGAAAGCUCUUCUUUUUGGCUUCUGCUCAGGCAGGAUUACCGCUAGAACCAGCAGAGUCUUCUGCAAAAGGAAGAGUUUGAAUUGUGGAAGCUCAAAUGCUCCCAGCGGAGUUGGUGUGGUUAUUUUUUGAACAAACCUUAGUGACUGCCUGGUAAUGCCCAUCACACUUGAACAAAUUCUGAAGAAACCAUUUGAAAGACAUUGUAAAAGAAAAUGAACCCACUGAAAGGCUGGAAAGGGCUUGUAUCUCAAAGGAGAAGUAAAGCUCAAAUGAAACUCAGACCUGUAGCUUUAAGAAUAGCAGCAACAGCAGUUAAUGAAAGAUUAGCACUGAUGUUUUACUCCUUCCUUCAAAUUAUUACUGUUGAAUCAGGGAGCCCUUCCAGAGGAGAGAUUACAAAGUGUUUGCCUUUAAAACACAGCUUUUAAAAGAAAUUGCAGACCUUACUAUAACAUCUGAGGAACAUUUUAUAACUUUCUGGGAGUACUUAGUGUAUGCUUUGCCCUUUAAGCUUCAAGUUCUGCCAAAUCUAUGCAAUGCAAUAUCCAGCACUUGCGAACCAAGGAGAAUUGUGGCAGCCUUCCUACACAGGCACCUGCAGGCAAGGACACUUUGUGGGGCUUUUUCUGGCCCAAGCUGCACAAACUAUUCCCAGCUCUGUGCAGGAUGUUAAUCCUCAGUGACUGAUACAUCACAGUUGAGGAAAGCAAGAGGGGUGAGAAUGAGAGAAGCCAACAGAGCAAGGAGCUGUAGUGCCAGUGCACAUUACAGUUCCUGACCUAAUGGGACUUAUAAUGACAAUAGUUAUGCUUGUAUUUAUUAGAAAGAUUUGGUCAGGAAAACUGGGGUAGUUUAAAGUUUAUGACUCCAAUUACAUUUCUGGGCAGGUGAUCAGCAAAAUAAGGCCAGAAAAAUAGGAGUCCUUAAUGGCACCUAACUAGUAAUAUGCUUUUUUUUUUCAGUUGUUACUUUUUUUUCUGCUGUCUGGAUGUGGUUUUUUUUUUUUUUCUAAUGAUUCUUCUGUGCUUCACUUUUGUAUACUGUCAGUGAUGAUCUUCACCAUAGCAACAUGCACGAGAAGAGACAGGUGGAAGAUUUGGUUUGAAUUUAAAGCUAGCCAGUUGAUCUGCAUUUCCAAACUAGAAAUGUAGAAUUGUAGCCCUUCUUGAAAUAUGAUUCAUAAUGAGCUGUAACUGCAUAGUAAUUAGAUAAUGAGUGAUGUGAAACUUGAGCAGUGCUGUCUAACAGAUUAAGAGCUUUGUUUGAGGUACAGAAUUUUUUUUUGUGAUCUCCUUUUCUCUUUUCAUUGAUCGCCAUUAAAACUGAAAUUAAGGCUCAAUUUUGCUGUCAUUAUAGGUUGAAUUUGCCAAAAUGUCCUUAUGAAUAUUCUGUGAAGGAAUUUAGCUGCAAAAAACUGUAAAAUUCUAAUUACAUGUAAGAAUCAUAGAAUAAUUAAGGUUGAAAAAGACUUCUAAGUACAUCUACUCCAACUGUCCACCUACCACCAGUAUUGCCCGCUAAACUAUGUCACUAAAUACUACCUCUAUCCUUUCCUUAAAUACCUCCAGGAAUGGCGACUCCACCACUUCCCUGGGCAGCCCAUUCCAGUGCAUCACC